rnacentral:rRNA from 1 species
GGUUCAGGAUGAACGCUAGCGACAGGCUAACACAUGCAAGUCGAGGGGCAGCAUAAAAGUAGCAAUACUUGGUGGCGACCGGCGCACGGGUGAGUAACGCGUAUGCAACCUACCUAUCAGAGGGGAAUAACCCGGCGAAAGUCGGACUAAUACCGCAUAAAACAGGGGCACCGCAUGGUGAUAUUUGUUAAAGAAAUUCGCUGAUAGAUGGGCAUGCGUUCCAUUAGGUAGUUGGUGAGGUAACGGCUCACCAAGCCGACGAUGGAUAGGGGAACUGAGAGGUUGGUCCCCCACACUGGUACUGAGACACGGACCAGACUCCUACGGGAGGCAGCAGUGAGGAAUAUUGGUCAAUGGGCGGGAGCCUGAACCAGCCAAGUCGCGUGGAAAAGGAAGAAGGAUCUAUGGUUCGUAAACUUCUUUUGCAGGGGAAUAAAGUGCAGGACGUGUCCUGUUUUGUAUGUACCCUGAGAAUAAGGAUCGGCUAACUCCGUGCCAGCAGCCGC